CCUACGGGUGGCAGCAGUAGGGAAUCUUCCACAAUGGGCGCAAGCCUGAUGGAGCAACACCGCGUGAGUGAAGAAGGGUUUCGGCUCGUAAAGCUCUGUUGUUGGAGAAGAACGUGCGUGAGAGUAACUGUUCACGCAGUGACGGUAUCCAACCAGAAAGUCACGGCUAACUACGUGCCAGCAGCCGCGGUAAUACGUAGGUGGCAAGCAUUAUCCGGAUUUAUUGGGCGUAAAGGGAGCGCAGGCGGUUGCUUAGGUCUGAGGGGAAAGCCUUCGGCUUAAACAAGAAGUGCCGCGGAAACCGGGCGACGUGAGUGCAGAAGAGGACAGUGGAACUCGAUGUGUAGCGGUGGAAGGCGUAGAUAUAUGGAAGAACACCGGUGGCGAAGGCGGCGGUCUGGUCUGCAACUGACGCUGAGGCUCGAAAGCAUGGGUAGCGAACAGGAUUAGAUACCCUAGUAGUC
rnacentral:rRNA from 1 species